rnacentral:rRNA from 1 species
GACAUUCUAUACGGAGUUACAAAGGAACGAGGUAGACGAAGCGACCUGGAAAGGUCCGUCGUAGAGGGUAACAACCCCGUAGUCGAAACUUCGUUCUCUCUUGAAUGUAUCCUGAGUACGGCGGAACACGUGAAAUUCCGUCGGAAUCUGGGAGGACCAUCUCCCAAGGCUAAAUACUCCCUAGUGAUCGAUAGUGAACCAGUACCGUGAGGGAAAGGUGAAAAGCACCCCGGAAGGGGAGUGAAAGAGAUCCUGAAACCGUGUGCCUACAAAUAGUCAGAGCCCGUUAACGGGUGAUGGCGUGCCUUUUGUAGAAUGAACCGGCGAGUUACGAUCCCGUGCGAGGUUAAGCUGAAGAGGCGGAGCCGCAGCGAAAGCGAGUCUGAAUAGGGCGUUUAGUACGUGGUCGUAGACCCGAAACCAGGUGAUCUACCCAUGUCCAGGGUGAAGUUCAGGUAACACUGAAUGGAGGCCCGAACCCACGCACGUUGAAAAGUGCGGGGAUGAGGUGUGGGUAGCGGAGAAAUUCCAAUCGAACCUGGAGAUAGCUGGUUCUCCCCGAAAUAGCUUUAGGGCUAGCCUUAAGUGUAAGAGUCUUGGAGGUAGAGCACUGAUUGGACUAGGGGUCCUCAUCGGAUUACCGAAUUCAGUCAAACUCCGAAUGCCAAUGACUUAUCCUUAGGAGUCAGACUGCGAGUGAUAAGAUCCGUAGUCAAAAGGGAAACAGCCCAGACCGCCAGCUAAGGUCCCAAAGUGUGUAUUAAGUGGAAAAGGAUGUGGAGUUGCUUAGACAACUAGGAUGUUGGCUUAGAAGCAGCCACCAUUUAAAGAGUGCGUAAUAGCUCACUAGUCGAGUGACUCUGCGCCGAAAAUGUACCGGGGCUAAAUACACCACCGAAGCUGCGGAUUGAUACCGAAUGGUAUCAGUGGUAGGGGAGCGUUCUAAGGACAGUGAAGUCAGACCGGAAGGACUGGUGGAGUGCUUAGAAGUGAGAAUGCCGGUAUGAGUAGCGAAAGACGGGUGAGAAUCCCGUCCACCGAAUGCCUA